rnacentral:misc_RNA from 1 species
AAACUUCAGCUGUCCAUUUUGUCGCAAGGUAUUUUCAAGCUAUUCUAUGCUUAAGAUUUGGCUUCGGAUGUGUUAAAUUUUGGCAUUUCUAAUGUCCAUGUUUUUGUAAACCCUGAUCUAUUUCAUUCAUUUUCAUUAGUUGAUUGGUCUUAUCAGUGCCAUGUAUCUGAAGUUUCAUUCAGUGGCUUCCUUGUAAUGUUGGCUAACUAGUAUGAAUAUGUG